AUUGAACGCUGGCGGCAUGCCUUACACAUGCAAGUCGAACGGCAGCACGGGUGCUUGCACCUGGUGGCGAGUGGCGAACGGGUGAGUAAUACAUCGGAACGUACCUUAUCGUGGGGGAUAACGCAGCGAAAGUUGCGCUAAUACCGCAUACGCCCUGAGGGGGAAAGCGGGGGACCGUAAGGCCUCGCGCGAUUAGAGCGGCCGAUGUCUGAUUAGCUUGUUGGUGAGGUAAAAGCUCACCAAGGCGAUGAUCAGUAGCUGGUCUGAGAGGACGAUCAGCCGCACUGGGGCUGAGACAGGGCCGAGACUCCUACGGGAGGGAGCAGUGGGGAAUUUUGAACAGUGGGGGCAACCCUGAUCCAGCAAUGCGGCGUGAGUGAAGAAGGCCUUCGGGUUGUAAAGCUCUUUUGUCAGGGAAGAAACAGCAGCUCUAACACAGUCUGCGAAUGACGGUACCUGAAGAAUAAGCACCGGCUAACUACGUGCCAGCCGCCGCCGUAA
rnacentral:rRNA from 1 species